AUAAGCAUCCAUUUCCCCUGACAAGGAAGUUAUUUGUAUAUAAAUCAAGUAUGUGAGCGAUCCAAUUCCAGAAUUCCACUUUCCCAGGACUACUCAUGGUACAAAUUACUGUAUUAUUCAGGGUUGUAGCAGGAAACAGAUGGCGCAACCAAAAGUAAUCAUCAACGAGGGUGUAGGCAAGAAUAACACAAAUCUGCGAGAGAUAGUGCAGCAGCUUAGGCUAAGCAAGAGCAAGAUCUUUCUACUCCUAAAAUGAAAAGGCAGGGAAAAGUGGUUCCUGAACCCAUGAGCUCUAUAUAUGGAGAAGGCUAUGUCAGAAGCUGUGAUGCUGAGGAACAGAGUUAUAUCCAAGCCACUGCAGGGCAGGAAGGCAAGUGGAUAAUCAUCCUAUUUCCCUUUCUACCUGGUCUUCCGCUAAUACCCUCUUCCACCUCUAUUUGCAAAACCCGAUCAAGGAAAAGACAGCCUGGCCAAUAAGACAUGAAUAUGAAGCAGCAUGUGCCAGCCCAGCACAAAACUCAGCAAAAUGCAGCAUCAAAUACUUGGAAAAAGGAAUCAUCAUGACUUUGUACCAUUUCGUAUUGGAAUUUCUUCUGUGAAGCAAAAACAGUCCCAAAAUGAAGGAUCUUCGGGUGUCAUGGGAACAGCAGAUGAUAUUAAAUCAUUAAAGUUGAGAAUAGUAAA